rnacentral:rRNA from 1 species
UACGAAGGGGGCAAGCGUUGUUCGGAUUUACUGGGCGUAAAGGGCGCGUAGGCGGACUCGUAAGUCAGAGGUGAAAGCCCUCGGCUCAACCGAGGAACUGCCUCUGAAACUGCAUAGCUCGAGGCCGGGAGAGGGUGGCGGAAUACCUGGUGUAGCGGUGAAAUGCGUAGAUAUCAGGAGGAACACCCGUGGCGAAGGCGGCCACCUGGACCGGUUCUGACGCUGAGGCGCGAAAGCGUGGGGAGCAAACAGG